rnacentral:rRNA from 1 species
GAUGAACGCUGGCGGUGUGCUUAACACAUGCAAGUCGAACGGAAACGUCCUGCUUUUUUGCGGUGCUCUGGUUGCGACCGGGUGAGUAACACGUGAGUACGCUGCCCCUGAUUUUGGGGUAAGCUCAGGAAACAGGUGCUAAUAGCGGAUAGGAACUUCGCCUGCAUGUGGGGGGUUGGCUAGUUUCGUCGGUUGGGGAUGGACUCGCGGCUUAUCCGCCUGUUGGUGGGGUAUCGGCUUACAAAGGCAUUGACAGGUAGCCGGCCUGAGAGGGUGGCCGGCCACAUUGGGACUGAGAUACGGCCCAGACUCCUACGGGAGGCAGCAGUGGGGAAUAUUGCACAAUGGGCGGAAGCCUGAUGCAGCAACGCCGCGUGCGGGAUGACGGCCUUCGGGUUGUAAACCGCUUUCGCCUGUGACGAAGCGUGAGUGACGGUAAUGGGUAAAGAAGCACCGGCUAACUACGUG